AAGUUGGUGAGGCAAAGCUCUCCUGAGAGACACCAUGUGGUGUUGGUGGUAACUUGAGGUAGUAGCAUAGUGAUUGAGUCUGCAAGAGAUGACAUCACAGGAAGGUUACUGAUGAAGCAUGAAAACGUCUCAUCCUUUGCUGCUUCAUUGUGACCAUGGGCACAAGACUUCUCUGCUGUUCAGUGCUUUGUCUCUUGGGGGCAGGCUCUUUCGAUGCCAAAGUUACCCAGACUC